GAUCCUGGCUCAGGAUGAACGCUAGCUACAGGCUUAACACAUGCAAGUCGAGGGGCAGCAUUUUAGUUUGCUUGCAAACUAAAGAUGGCGACCGGCGCACGGGUGAGUAACACGUAUCCAACCUGCCGAUAACUCUGGGAUAGGCCUUUCGAAAGAAAGAUUAAUACCGGAUGGCAUAGGAUUAUCGCAUGAUAAUCCUAUUAAAGAAUUUCGGUUAUCGAUGGGGAUGCGUUCCAUUAGG
rnacentral:rRNA from 1 species